GAAUAUUCUGGAAUGCUGGCAAAAUGGUCCAAGGUAGAACCUCCCCAUUUUCCACAUGGCUGAAAUUAUAGUUGGGGGAGACGCUGCGGAUGGAAAUAAACUAAACUCUCAAUGUCACCACCAUCUGUGUGAUCCACUGAGAAGAACAGUGGCUCCCAUCUGGCUCUCCUCUGGGAUCCACAGCAGAAUCCUCAGAUGGGACCAAGGAGCAGAAUUUCACUUUUGGUAUGCACAUGUUGGCCUUCUCCUUAGUGGUUCUGCCAACAGAUGAGAAGUGCCCCUCCCAAGCCAAGCAUGCCCGUACUGCUACUCCUUGGUGACCCUGGUCCAAGCUAGGACGGCUGUUUCUACAGCGCCGAGGGCUGCGGCUCACCUUGGCAGUGAGCUGUACUGGCGCUGGGCCUGCUGGAAGCUCUCUCGCUCCUCCUGGCGUUGCCGUUGCACUUGAACCUCCACCGAGACCGAGUGCCGACCACUCUGUGAUGCCGGCCGUGAGUUGGACUGUGGGAGAGAGACACAGCUUGUCAGUAAGAGAAUGACACCUGCCUUGUCAUGCCAAGAGCCAUGUCACUUCAGUUCUGGUUCUUCUGCAGUGCUGGGGAUGGGACCCAAUGCCUGCCCAUGCUCUGUGCUCUGCCUGAAUGACACUGCCAAGCCUCCAUAGCUGACUCUUACUAAAUGACUUUGAAAUGUUUUACAGACGCUAUGA